UGGGGAAUUUUGCACAAUGGGGGAAACCCUGAUGCAGCGACGCCGCGUGAUUUAGAAGGCCUUCGGGUUGUAAAAAUCUUUUCUAUGGGAAGAAAAUGACAGUACCAUAGGAAUAAGGACCGGCUAAUUACGUGCCAGCAGCCGCGGUAAUACGUAAGGUCCGAGCGUUGUCCGGAAUCAUUGGGCGUAAAGGGUACGUAGGCGGGUAAGCAAGUUAGAAGUGAAAUCCUGUAGCUCAACUACAGUAAGCUUUUAAAACUGCUCAUCUUGAGAUAUGGAAGGGAAAGUGGAAUUCCUAGUGUAGCGGUGAAAUGCGCAGAUAUUAGGAGGAAUACCGGUGGCGAAGGCGACUUUCUGGACUAACACUGACGCUGAGGCGCGAAAGCCAGGGGAGCGAACGGG
rnacentral:rRNA from 1 species